UUUUUAAUUGCAUCGAAAAAUGCUUUUGCCCUAAUGUGUUUUGGUUAAUGCCUUCCACUGCAUUUGUAAAGAGGAUGUAAACAUAAGCCCUGAUAAUGGAGCAGUCUUUAAAAUAGGUGUCUAUUCUUGGCUUGAAGAACUUCAGAAGCAUGCUCCUUUAUUAAAGAAAGACUGCAUGCUUUAUGCUUUGAAGAAAACAACUGCAGAUUUACCGAACUCAUGACAAUCAGAAGCCAGGCAUUUGCAGAGUCAAGACUGAUUGGGAAGAUACGCAUUCAAGAAAUUACCUUAAGAUUUGUUUCACCAUUAAAGCGACAUUCCCAGCUGUUCUCCAAUCAACUGGAUAAAAGCAGAGAACCCAUCAGAAGUUGUUCCUGGUUGACUAUCACCUUUCAAAACAAAUGUGUUUCCUAAGGACAUUUUGAGGAAAUGCUUGAGCAAUCCCAAAGAUGCCACUCCUACUACGUGAAGCUUCAUGGACAUGAGCAAAAGACAUACGCCUGUAGCGACCUUCCCUGGGUGGAUGGACAGAGUCCUGGGCCCUAGAAACACCAUCCCUGACCAACACCGAAGAAAGUGCUGGGCCUUUAUGGGUGUGUCAAAUUGUGCCUGUUUUGUUAAAGCCAUCCUUUUUCCC